rnacentral:rRNA from 1 species
GAACCUACCUUGUACAGGGGAAUAGCCCAGGGAAACUUGGAUUAAUGCCCCGUAGUACCGUGACCCGGCAUCGGGAUACGGUUAAAGCCUUCGGGCGGUAUAAGAUGGCCAUGCGUCCCAUUAGCUUGUUGGUAAGGUAACGGCUUACCAAGGCUACGAUGGGUAGGGGCCCUGAGAGGGGGAUCCCCCACACUGGUACUGAGACACGGACCAGACUCCUACGGGAGGCAGCAGUGAGGAAUAUUGGACAAUGGAGGAGACUCUGAUCCAGCCAUGCCGCGUGCAGGAAGAAUGCCCUAUGGGUAGUAAACUGCUUUUAUACGGGAAGAAAAAAGAGUACGUGUACUCUACUGACGGUACCGUAAGAAUAAGGACCGGCUAACUCCGUGCCAGCAGCCGCGGUAAUACGGAGGGUCCGAGCGUUAUCCGGAAUUAUUGGGUUUAAAGGGUCCGUAGGCGGGCCGAUAAGUCAGGGGUGAAAGUUUGCAGCUCAACUGUAAAAUUGCCUUUGAUACUGUUGGUCUUGAGUUAUAGUGAAGUUGCCGGAAUAUGUAGUGUAGCGGUGAAAUGCAUAGAUAUUACAUAGAACACCGAUUGCGAAGGCAGGUGACUAACUAUAUACUGACGCUGAUGGACGAAAGCGUGGGGAGCGAACAGGAUUAGAUACCCUGGUAGUCCACGCCGUAAACGAUGGAUACUAGCUGU